CCUACGGGGGACUGCAGUGAGGAAUAUUGGUCAAUGGACGAGAGUCUGAACCAGCCAAGUAGCGUGAAGGAUGACUGCCCUAUGGGUUGUAAACUUCUUUUAUAUGGGAAUAAAACGUUCCACGUGUGGGAUUUUGUAUGUACCAUAUGAAUAAGGAUCGGCUAACUCCGUGCCAGCAGCCGCGGUAAUACGGAGGAUCCGAGCGUUAUCCGGAUUUAUUGGGUUUAAAGGGAGCGUAGGUGGAUUGUUAAGUCAGUUGUGAAAGUUGGCGGCUCAACCGUAAAAUUGCAGUUGAAACUGGCAGUCUUGAGUACAGUAGAGGUGGGCGGAAUUCGUGGUGUAGCGGUGAAAUGCUUAGAUAUCACGAAGAACUCCGAUUGCGAAGGCAGUUCACUGGACUGCAACUGACACUGAGGCUCGAAAGUGUGGGUAUCAAACAGGAUUAGAUACCCUAGUAGUC
rnacentral:rRNA from 1 species